GGGGAAUAUUGCGCAAUGGGGGAAACCCUGACGCAGCAACGCCGCGUGAUUGAAGAAGGCCUUCGGGUUGUAAAGAUCUUUAAUUCGGGACGAAUUUUGACGGUACCGAAAGAAUAAGCUCCGGCUAACUACGUGCCAGCAGCCGCGGUAAUACGUAGGGGGCAAGCGUUAUCCGGAUUUACUGGGUGUAAAGGGAGCGCAGGCGGCAUGGUAAGCCAGAAGUGAAAACCCGGAGCUCAACCCAUGAAUUGCUUUCAAAACUGUUUUUCUUGAGUAGUGCAGAGGUAGAUGGAAUUCCCGGUGUAGCGGUGGAAUGCGUAGAUAUCGGGAGGAACACCAGUGGCGAAGGCGGUCUACUGGGCACCAACUGACGCUGAGGCUCGAAAGCAUGGGUAGCAAACAGGAUUAGAUACCCUGGUAGUCCAUGCCGUAAACGAUGAUUACUAGGUGUUGGGGGAUUGACCCCCUCAGUGCCGCAGUUAACACAAUAAGUAAUCCACCUGGGGAGUACGACCGCAAGGUUGAAACUCAAAGGAAUUGACGGGGGCCCGCACAAGCAGUGGAGUAUGUGGUUUAAUUCGAAGCAACGCGAAGAACCUUACCAGGUCUUGACAUCCGAUGCAUAACACAGAGAUGUGUGAAAUCCUUCGGGACAUCGAGACAGGUGGUGCAUGGUUGUCGUCAGCUCGUGUCGUGAGAUGUUGGGUUAAGUCCCGCAACGAGCGCAACCCUUAUUGCCAGUUACUACGUUAAGAGGACUCUGGCGAGACUGCCGUUGACAAAACGGAGGAAGGUGGGGACGACGUCAAAUCAUCAUGCCCUUUAUGACCUGGGCUACACACGUACUACAAUGGCGUUAAACAAAGAGAAGCAAGACCGCGAGGUGGAGCAAAACUCAAAAACAACGUCUCAGUUCAGAUUGCAGGCUGCAACUCGCCUGCAUGAAGUCGGAAUUGCUAGUAAUCGCGGAUCAGCAUGCCGCGGUGAAUACGUUCCCG
rnacentral:rRNA from 1 species